UAACGUAGGGUGCGAAGCGUUAAUCGGAAUUACUGGGCGUAAAGGCGUGACGCAGGCGGUUUUGUAAGAACCGGAUGAUGAAAUCCCCGGGCUUAACCUCGGGAACUGCAUUGGGUGACUGCAAGGCUUGAGUGUGUCAGAGGGAGGUGGAAUUCGCGUGUAGCAGUGAAAAUGCGUAGAUAUGCGGAGGAACACCGAUGGCGAAGGCAGCCUCCUGGGAUAACAACUGACGCUCAUGCACGAAAGCGUGGGGAGCAAACAGG
rnacentral:rRNA from 1 species